rnacentral:lncRNA from 10 species
CUUCAUCUCAAAAAAAAAAAAAUAAAAAAAAUAAAGUGAUUUUAUAGGGAAUAUUUUGUUAGUGUAGAUAUGGUAUGCCAGAUCCUGAAACCUUGUAGGAAAUUAUACAUUCUGAACAUGUAGUUCAGUUCCAUUAAUCCUGAAAAUACUUAUAAAAUCCUAUUUCCUGAAGAAUUACAGUAUAUUGGUAUCAGUGAAUGCUAAUAAAUAUGUAGGUGGGCAAUGAUAGUCAUAAACUAAAAUUUAAAAUAACAGUUGAGUAGCUCAAUUCUGUCUCUGAUCAUUCAUAGCUUCUUAUUCUUGUGAAGGGACAUUGCCUAUGUGAUGUGGAAUUUGUAUCUUUGCUAUGGUGUAUUAAGUGACAUUGCUCCCUCAUUAGCAGGUAGUACCAGCCUUAUUAUUGUUAUUUUUUAUUUCAAAUUUUAAAUUUUUGUGGGUACAUAGUUUAUAUAGUAUGGUAGAUAUGAGAUAUUUUGAUGCAGGCAUACAAUGUGUAAUAAUCACAUCAGGGUAAAUGGGGUACCCACCCCCUCAGGCAUUUACCAUUUUGUGUUAUAAACAAUCCAAUUAUAAUUUUUUAGUUAUUUUUAAAUGUACAGUAAAUUAUUGUUGACUGUAUCCCAGCUACUCAGGAGGCUGAGGUGGGAGAAUGGCGUGAACCCAGGAGGCGGAGCUUGCACGAGCCGAGAUCACGCCACUGCACUCCAG